rnacentral:lncRNA from 1 species
CCCGGAUGAUGUCCUGAAGCUUCCGCCGGGAGAAACCGAACCACCUCCGCAAUCGGUGGGGAGAGGAGGAAGAUUUCCUAAAUGGAGGAAGGAACCGAGUUUCCGAUCGAAAUACUCGGAAACCAUUUGCUGAUUCUGGUGCGCGACGUUGAAAUCGGGAAAUUCGAUUCUAGAAUACUCCACCGGGUCCAUCUUCCUAUGAUCGAGCAGAACUACCUCGGACGAAAUCGAGGAAUUAACGGCGGAGGUGGAAGGAAGAGAUAACGUUAACGGCGUUAAACAGAGGGUCAAUUUGACGGUUCCGGCAGGGGAAUGGAAGAGAUCGGUGGAGGAGAGUGUAUAAUCUCGCGAGACUUCCCCUUUCC